rnacentral:lncRNA from 1 species
CAAGAUCUAGUAACCCCCGCCAUCUCCAAUGGACAACUUCGUGGGUGUCAAGGCUGUUGCCUAUAACGCGCUUGUUACCGCAACAGCCGCGACCACCCGCAAGCCCGGCUGUGCGAAGACGUUAGAAGACUUCAAGCAUUGUCUCAACACCUUCGUGGAAUGUUGUGACUACCCCGGCGACAUGUUCUGUGGACUUGAACAGAUCACAUACAUCCACCUCGCCAUCGAAGAUGAUCUGCAGGCUGCCGCCAAUGCUGAGGAGAAAGAGGUGCAUGAAGAGAAGGAUACAACAGCCAUGCCGUCUAUGUCGGUGAUGGUUGCUGCCAUCAAGGAAAAGUAGAUCUAUCGGUCAAUUGAUAUUGUGCCUUAUUGUUGUGAUUUGAUUGGUUCUCUUGGUUAUUAUGCUAAUCAGGUGAGAUAUAUCGCUCAUGAAUAAAAUGGUGAAAAGUUUGGAGAAGUGAAUCAGUAUAUUACUAAAUGCAAAUUAAUUUGUCACAUUUAGUUUUCAGGUCAUGAUGCUAUGAUCAUGAUAUUAUUGUUUAAUUAUGGACCGAGA